rnacentral:rRNA from 1 species
GACAGAGGAGGCGAGCGUUAUCCGGAGUCAUUGGGCGUAAAGGGUACGUAGGCGGCUAGUCAAGUCUGAGGUUAAAGACCACAGCUUAACUGUGGGAAGGCCUUGGAAACUGACUGGCUAGAGUGGGGCAGGGGUUGCGGGAAUUCCCGGUGUAGCGGUGAAAUGCGUAGAUAUCGGGAAGAACACCUGAGGCGAAAGCGCGCAACUGGGCCCUAACUGACGCUGAGGUACGAAAGCUAGGGGAGCGAAUGGGAUUAGAUACCCUGGUAGUCCACGCUGUAAACGAUGAAUGCUAGCCGUUGGGGUGCAUGCACCUCAGUGGCGCCGCUAACGCAUUAAGCAUUCCGCCUGGGGAGUACGGUCGCAAGAU